AGCUCCAAUAGCGUAUAUUAAAGUUGUUGCGGUUAAAAAGCUCGUAGUUGGAUCUCGGCAGCCAGGGGCGGGUUCGUUCCAAAGCGGGACUGCCCCUUUUGGCUGGGGGAUUGGGGGGGGUUCCGGGGGGUUUUUCGUUGGGGGUCCGGGGGCGCCGUCAGGUUUACUUUGAAAAAAUUAGAGUGCUCAAAGCAGGCUUUUCAGGCUUGAAUAUUCGUGCAUGGAAUAAUGGAAUAGGAACUCGUUCCUAUUUUGUUGGUUUUCGGGAAUCGAGUUAAUGAUUAAUAGGGACAAUUGGGGGCAUUAGUAUUCAAACGACAGAGGUGAAAUUCUUGGACCGUUUGAAGACUAACUACUGCGAAAGCAUUUGCCAAGAGUGUUUUCA
rnacentral:rRNA from 1 species